GCUCUGCCCUGCAGAGGCUGGUCUGCGUGGACACAGCUCCCACCCUCGGGCUUGGAGCUGCGCGGAGGGGCGCCUGGGGUGACUCCUCCCUCCCAGUGGGAGGGGACCUCACA